rnacentral:rRNA from 1 species
UGGGAAUAUUGGACAAUGGGCGCAAGCCUGAUCCAGCCAUGCCGCGUGGGUGAAGAAGGCCUUCGGGUUGUAAAGCCCUUUUGUUGGGAAAGAAAAGCAGCCGGCCAAUACCCGGUUGUUCUGACGGUACCCAAAGAAUAAGCACCGGCUAACUUCGUGCCAGCAGCCGCGGUAAUACGAAGGGUGCAAGCGUUACUCGGAAUUACUGGGCGUAAAGGGUGCGUAGGCGGCUUUGUAAGUCAGAUGUGAAAGGCUACGGCUCAACCGUAGUAAGCAUUUGAAACUGCAGGGCUUGAGUGCAGGAGAGGAGAGUGGAAUUCCUAGUGUAGCGGUGAAAUGCGUAGAUAUUAGGAGGAACACCAGUGGCGAAGGCGACUCUCUGGACUGUAACUGACGCUGAGGCACGAAAGCGUGGGGAGCAAACA